rnacentral:lncRNA from 1 species
GUCUUUUGUCUUUUUAGGACUGUACCUGCAGCAUAUGGAAGUUCCCAGGCAAGGGGUCUAAUUGGAGCUGUAGCUGCCGGCCUACACUACAGCCACAGUAACACAGGAUCCGAGCCACGUCUGCAACCUACACCACAGCUCACGGCAAUGCCAGAUCCUUAACCCACUGAGCGAGGCCAGGGAUUGAACCCGCAACCACAUGUUCCUAAUUGGAUUUGUUUCUGCUGUACCAUGACAGGAACUCCUCAACUGAGGUUUCUGAUGCAACUAAAAUAUUGUAACCAAAUAGAGAUGCAAACAGGAACUUUGAAAAAAAGGUUGUGUGGUUAAAUAAGUUUGAAGAACCAGAUUAAGCAAAGUUAGGUGAGCUUUUUUUUUUUUCUUCUUUGCAUGAGUUAGAGUCCUUUCCGUAUAUGCUAAUGUAUAACGUGAAACUUCUCGAGGAGAAUAUCUCAGUUGCAUUUCCAGGAAAGGUUGUCCCCAGAAUGCUUUUAUCGUGAGACAUGGGUCAGCCCUGGGAUGUGCUGUGGAGCCUGAUCCCUACUCUAUAAAUCUUGGCUUUUAACAUGAGAUGUAAAUUAACAGUUAAUACACACUUAGUGAGGAAGACAGUCAAGAGAGGGGGUAAGAGUUUCAGUUCCCCAAAUUUUCCCCGCAUGGUCUGUGAAUUUCUCUGAGGGAGGCCCCAUGUCAAACAGACCAGACACAAAUGCUAAUUGGAAUUUGGUACAAAGUCAUUCCAGGAAGCCCAGCGGAGGGCAGAGAACCACAGCAGGGCAGGGCUGGUGGAGGCGAUGGGGGUUCUAGGCCCGGGGGGGCGGGGGCGGUGCUGCUUGUCUUUCUGGGUGGCUCCGGGCAAAGGCCUUCUCCCCGGACCUCAGUGUCUCCUCUGAAAUGUGGGGAGAGGACCAGUUUGUCAGUGACGUUCUUCCCAGCCAUCCUCAGGCCAUAGUCAGGGCCCGGAUGUAGGAUAAGCCUUGUGAGCACACGCCCUCUGUGCUAUCCUAGAGCAAGAGGGAGAUGAAUAAGACUUCUAGCCCUACCCUCUAGGAAGGAAACAAUUGUCUAAAGGUGUGUGUCUGUGUGUUGCAUAUAAUUAACAGGCAAUUGGAGGCGAGUUAAAGGGUUUUUUUUUUUUUGGUCCACACAUGCGGCAUAUGGAAGUUCCCAGGCUAGGGAUUGAAUCAGAGCUGCAGCUGUGGCCUACACCACAGCCAUGGCAACACCGGAUCUGAGUCACAUCUGUGACCUACACCACAGCGUGCAGUGUACUGGAUUUUCAACCCACUGAGCAAGGCCAGGGAUCAAACCCGCAUCCUUACAGAGACAACAUUGGGUCCUUAAGCUGCUGAGCCGCAACAGGAACUGCAAAACAAAAGGUUUGAACCUAUCUGUUCACCUCUUUCUAGCACUGCUAGUCCUAGAAUGCUGAUCCUGAGGCCACAUCCAAGCUCGGGGCCGGGGGUUGGAAAGAGCACCCUGCUGGGUUAGUGUCAUCUGCCAGGGACGGCAGAGAGGGGCAUGUCUGCCUAUUUGUUCAGUCCUUGUAACACANUUUUUUUUUUUUUUUAAGGGCCACGCCCGAGGCACAGGGAAGUUCCCAGGCUAGGGGUCGAAUCAGAGCUGCAGCCACUGGCCAUGCCACAGCCAGAGCAAUGCGGGAUCGAAGCCGCACCUGUGACCUCCCCCACAGCUCAUGGCAACACCAGAUUCUUAACCCACUGAGCGAGGCCAGGGAUUGAAUCCAGAUCCUCAUGGAUACUAGUCAGGUUUGUUACCCCUGAGUCACAAAGGGAGCUCCCAGAAAGGUCCUCUCUCUUGCCCUUAGUGGGGUGGAUGGAACAGGGUGGGAUGGAGGCAGAGGCACCAGCAAGGGACCCAUGACAGCCAGCCAGGCAGGGGCGGCUUGCGCAGAAGGAGAGGGAGGGAACAAGGGAGCGAGCAUGUUGGGGUAUCUUGGAGAGGCUGUCCACUUCCUCUCUCCAUGAAGAUUUAGAGGGAGAGGGGGACUGCCUGGUGCUGCAGGCACCAGCUCCCUCAGAUGAACAUGCUCUUGACCUUUGCUGAUUCUGAGUAAACAACUCAGCUUUGCAGCUGUGGAGCUGGGGCUUUGGCAGAGCAGACCUGAGCCUGCCUCCCCAGCCACGGCUGCCUGGGGGCUAGGAUCCUGCCCUACCCAGCACCCCAGUGCUGGGAGAGUGUUCUUGGCAACCAGUUACCCAGCAAGAUUAGUGAGAUGCCCCUGGAGGAGGGGCCAAGUGGGCACCUUUGUUUCUGCUUCUCUGGGUGGGGACCCCCUGAAAAGGCUUGUGAGGGGCCCUAACAACAGCAGCAGUAACCAUGACUCUCCUGGCAUCGGCCCAGCCUUUGAAAUGCACCCUGCAUCUAAAGCCUGCCAUCACCUCCUCUGCCAUCACCUUCAUUCCAGGUGCCCUAAUUUCACCAGAGACUUCCCACUGGCCUCCCAGCUUCCACCUGGCCCUCUCUGGUCUGCUCUCCAGAAGCCAGAGGGAUCCCGUCACUCUUCUGACCAAAAUCCUCCAACAGACACCAUCCUAGUCACUGUUAAAGUAAACAUCCCAACAUGACCAUCUGCUUCCCUCCUGGUGGCCCCCACCUCCUCUUUACCUCUCUGAUCUUAUUUCCCAUUGGUCAAGAUCAUUCAGCUCUGGCCUUCUGGCUUUUCCACUAGCUGACUGUGAGCAUUCAUGCCCCAGGACCUUUGCACCAGCCAUGCAUUCUCUCUAGAAUGCUCUUUCAGGUAAUCACACGGGUCCCUUCAUUGCCUCCUUUAGACCUUUGCGCAAAUAUCACCUUCUUAUUGAGGCCUCCUUGUACCUCAUCUAAAAUCGCAUCUCCCUUCACUUUUCCUGACCCCCUGCUGUGCUUUUAAUCCACAGGUGAUAUUGCCAUUUUGCAUAUUAUCUGUUUUACUUAUUUAUUAGUCUGACUCUUCCCUAAGCUGUAUGUUUCAUGAUUGCAGGGACCUUUGUUCUCUUGAUCACUGUUGCGAUCCUAGUCUGAAAACACUAUCUGAUGCAUAUGAGGAGCUCAAAACCCGUUUGUUCCAUGAGUGAAGGAAUGAUACCAUUGAGCUCACGUGUCUGGCAUUGGGCUUCCAUCGUCUUAAUAAAUCUAGGAAGCCCGCACUAUGAAUUUUUAUUUUCAGUUUGGAUGAUUUCUCUUGCCCCAUUACCAUGUUCACUUUUCUCCCUGGGUAGAAUCUGUUGACAAUCUCAUCAUAAGACUUCUUUUUCUCUGACAUCAUAGUUUUCUUUUUUAGCGUGGCUUUAGCAUUUCCAGCCGGCUUCUUUUUAAAACGUGUCCUUCUCGCUUCCUAAAUUCCCCAUCUGUUUAUGCAUGUUGUUCACCUUUUCCACUAGAUCCUUUAGUCAACUUAGAGCUACUUUAAAGGCCUUGCUUCAUAGUAGAAGAGCAUGCAUUGAGUACAUUUAUCGUGUCGGGCACGGGGCUAGUGACUUUUAUCUCUUCAAGUUGAUUCAGAUAAGAAACUUGAAGCUCAAUAACGGGAAGUGACUUGCCCUAAGGUCCCCUGGCCAGGAAGCAAAGGCACUGGGGUUCCAACCCCAGGUGGACAGUUGAACUUUCGUUCUAACUAACACUGUUACUCCGCCUUCAGCCAUGAGCUCUCCCAGAGCCCUGGACUCAGCUCGCCAAUUUAUCCACAAAGAAGGAUCCAGGUGGCCUGUCCCCAUGGCACUUCACUGUGGCCAGGUCUCUGAAUAAUGGAGUGAGCUCAGUUUCAAGCCCCUGUAUUUGGCCUUCCAGACCCCCACCAUCUGGCCCCAUCCACCUUCUCCUCCCAUCCCUAGGGCUUCCCAGCAGGGCGCCAAGCUGGUCCCCUCUUCUGCCAGAAUCGCUCUCCACCUUUUUCUCAGCCCAUCACUCCACCCCAAACUUCAUUCUUUUGUCUCUUGUUCAUUGAUUCACUUAUUUAAUAUAUACUUGGUAUAUUUAACUCCACAUAUUUACCUCAGUAAAAGAGACGUGAUCAAAGAUUGCAGCUUCUAGAGCCAGACAGCCUAGUGAGAACUCUGGUCUCUCUGCUUACCAGCUGUGAUUUCAGUAAGGGAUUCAUCUCCCUGUGCCUCGAUUUCCUCAUCUGUAAAGUGGAAAUAAUGGGAGGACCUAUCUCAGUACACUAAUCUGAGGAGUUAAAGAAUUAGACGACAUAUGAGUAUAGGGCCUGACAGUCAGCCAGCUCUCAGUAAGUGUCAGCUGUCACUAAGAGCGAGUGCUGUGAUGUGGACACAGAGGUGGCUCAGACAUGACUCUACCCUCCGAGAUCCCUCAAUCCCAAGGGGUAUCAGACAUAUAAGCCCAGUCCCUAUGGUCAAGGCCAGAGAUGGCUCCCGCACAGGCCCAGGACUUGCCUUUGCUUGCCUGUCUAGCCACUUGGCCACUCAGAGGAACAGAGUCACUGGGCUGUGAAAAGUCCAGCUGGCCAGGCCCUGGUGGGAGUCCCCUCCUGCCAGUCCUUCCCCCAGCCCCCACCCCAGCCAGCACACUUGCUCUCAUUGGCCAGAGAGGAGGGUAAGCUCUGGAAAGGCAGGGAUAAGGCUGAGGCUGAGUCCACAGACAGCUACACAGACAGGACACGCCCUCAGACAGACACACACACACACAUGCGGACAGAGCCCUAAUGUAAUAACACCUCACACGUUGUUCUUAGCAUGUGCCAGGCACUGUUCCAAGCAUUCCAUAUGGAUUAAUUUAUUUGAUCCUCACAACAGCCUUGUGAGGUACAUUGUAUUAAUAGCCCCAUUUAACUGAUGGGGCAAGUGAGUCAGAGAGGGGUUAGGCAAUUUACCAAGUUCAUACCAAAUCGGUGACAGACCCAAAUCCCAACCCAGGGAGUCAUACUGCAGAAGCAGAACUCUUAACCAUGCCUACGCCCAGACACGCAUACGCAUGGCACACUCAGCUUUAGACAUGCGGGCACAGAGACAUGCCCCUUUUUGGACGUGGCGUCUUCUAGAAUGCAGAAACACAAGGGCAGGACAAGGAUGCCCUCUCCCUCACACCCCCCUCCCCGGACAUGAAGGGCUAAGUAUUUAACUCGAGACCCACGCGCGGCUGCGCAGGAACACAUGGGCUCGUGCAGGCUGCGUGCACACAUGCCCCCUCAACACACACGCAUAUGGAAACAACAGUCACAUGAUUCUUGUAGAAACUUGCAGCAGCCCCAGGAGGAGCAGCAGCCCCAGGAGGAGGGGGGCUUCACCUGUGUGAUUCCCCAGUGUGCCCGGCGUAGCACCCAGCACCUAACAUGAGCUUAAUCCCUGCAGCUUCCCGCCUUAGGACUAGGGGCCCUUUGCCCCCCUUUGCCGUUAAGAGUUCUGACUUCAGAGUGAGACAGGCUGCCCUCCUACUUGCCAGGCAAGGGAUUUCACCUUUCUGAGCCUGCCCUGGAGCCCCCAGCCGCAGCUGCCUCCUGCUAUGCUCCAGCACACCAGGGACGGGAUGCUCUGGCCCCAGGGCCUUUGCACUUGCCUUUGCCCCCACGGAUCCACAGGGUUCCCUCCUCCCUGGCCCCUUCAGGUCUUUACCUCAAUGUUAUCUUUGGGGUUGGGGGGGAGGUUGCCUGGUCUCCCUCCUUCAAUUGCAGCUGCUCCUCCAUUUCUCUGCUCUCCUGCUUGCUUUCUUUUUCUUUUUUCUUUUUUCUUUUCUUUUUCUUUUUCUUUUUCUCCUCCUCCUCCUCCUCCUCCUCCUCUUCUUCUUUUGGCUGCUUUCAUGGCUUGUGGAAAGUCCCAGGCCAGGGAUUGAA